rnacentral:rRNA from 1 species
UUGGUUAAGUUAGAAAGGGCGCACGGUGGAUGCCUUGGCACUAGGAGCCGAAGAAGGACGGGACUAACACCGAUAUGCUUUGGGGAGCUGUACGUAAGCGUUGAUCCAGAGAUUUCCGAAUGGGGGAACCCACUAUCUUUAGUCGGAUAGUAUCCUUACGUGAAUACAUAGCGUGAGGAAGGCAGACCCAGGGAACUGAAACAUCUAAGUACCUGGAGGAAGAGAAAGAAAAAUCGAUUUCCUGAGUAGCGGCGAGCGAAACGGAAAGAGCCCAAACCAAGAAGCUUGCUUCUUGGGGUUGUAGGACACUCUAUACGGAGUUACAAAAGAAAGUUAUAAAUGAAGCGGUCUGGAAAGGCCCGCCAAAGACGGUAACAGCCCGGUAGUUGAAAUGGCUUUCCCUCCAGAGUGGAUCCUGAGUACGGCGGAACACGUGAAAUUCCGUCGGAAUCCGGGAGGACCAUCUCCCAAGGCUAAAUACUCCCUAGUGACCGAUAGUGAACCAGUACCGUGAGGGAAAGGUGAAAAGCACCCCGGAAGGGGAGUGAAACAGUUCCUGAAACCGUGUGCCUACAAGUAGUUAGAGCCCGUUAAUGGGUGAUAGCGUGCCUUUUGUAGAAUGAACCGGCGAGUUACGAUUUGUUGCAAGGUUAAGCGGAAAAAGCGGAGCCGUAGCGAAAGCGAGUCUGAAUAGGGCGCAUAAGUAACAGGUCGUAGACCCGAAACCAGGUGAUCUACCCAUGUCCAGGAUGAAGGUAAGGUAAUACUUACUGGAGGUCCGAACCCACGCACGUUGAAAAGUGCGGGGAUGAGGUGUGGGUAGCGGAGAAAUUCCAAUCGAACUUGGAGAUAGCUGGUUCUCUCCGAAAUAGCUUUAGGGCUAGCCUCGAGGUAAAGAGUCAUGGAGGUAGAGCACUGUUUGGACUAGGGGCCCUUCUCGGGUUACCGAAUUCAGAUAAACUCCGAAUGCCAUGUACUUAUACUCGGGAGUCAGACUGCGAGUGAUAAGAUCCGUAGUCGAAAGGGAAACAGCCCAGACCACCAGUUAAGGUCCCCAAAUAUAUGUUAAGUGGAAAAGGAUGUGGGGUUGCUUAGACAACCAGGAUGUUGGCUUAGAAGCAGCCACCAUUGAAAGAGUGCGUAAUAGCUCACUGGUCGAGUGACCCCGCGCCGAAAAUGUACCGGGGCUAAACAUAUUACCGAAACUGUGGAUGAACCUCUUUAGAGGUUCGUGGUAGGAGAGCGUUCUAAGGGCGGUGAAGUCAGACCGGAAGGACUGGUGGAGCGCUUAGAAGUGAGAAUGCCGGUAUGAGUAGCGAAAGAAGGGUGAGAAUCCCUUCCACCGAAUAUCUAAGGUUUCCUGAGGAAGGCUCGUCCGCUCAGGGUUAGUCGGGACCUAAGCCGAGGCCGAUAGGCGUAGGCGAUGGACAACAGGUAGAGAUUCCUGUACCAGUGCUAAUUGUUUA